CCCCCGCUCUGCCCCGCGCUGGACGGGUCGCUGGCACACUGCCCUCUACGGGCUCAGUGCGAGACUGAAAGGACUUUAAACGUGCAGGCGACAUUCAGCUGCCCAUUUCUGGUCUGGGAGAGAUCCCUUCUUCCUCCCAGGCCGGCGUCGGGCCGUAACGUCUGGGCGGAGGGCGGAGCUGGAGGUCAGGGAGCGGCACUGCGCGGCCAGAUGCUGGUGGCCAGAUGCUGGUGGCCGCGGAGCCUCAGCCUGCCUGGGCUUGCCUGCUCAUCGGUGCGCCGUGGUCACUGCCACCUGCCUGUGGGCCUGCCCUUCUGGCUUCUUUCUGGAUCAGAUGGGAAUGACUGUGAAGGCACCUGGCACGGCUCCUGUGAGCCCCAUUCCUCAUGAGGCCUCAACCUUGACCUGUCAAGACUUGAAUCAACACUGGCACGGUUUCCAGCAGCUCCAGGCCACAUCCUGGACAUGCCUCUGACGCCCACCCCACCGCCAACCCCACCCCCAAAGCGCAUGCAUGGGAUCAGCAGGGCUGCCGAGACUUAUCGAGCACCUGAGGACAGGGCCUCCGUGUGCUGUGUCUGUGGGAGGCUGGAAUCCUAACCUCAGUACCAGCCCGCCAGGACAGCCGGUGUAGCUGCAUUUCCACUGGCCCUUUGUCAGGGCCCGUGCCUCCCGAGCCCCCCUUGCCCCAUGCCCCCAUCCUCCCUCUGGAGCACCAGCUACUUCGGGACACAUCGAAGUGCACUGUCCUCCCCAUGGUGUCCUCUACGGAGACUGGGCAGGGAGCUCAGGAAGGACUUUGUGCCGUGUCCCAGAAGUUUUGUCCCUCGUGGAUGACUUUGAGGGGCUCCAGACUGCAGAUGAGAACGAAAGUCGGAAGUGCAGCCUGAAGACAGGACUGAACAGCUACAAUCUCGUGAUAAAACCUGAAUGAACACGUUGCUUCUUAGGAUGAGCAAAGAAAGUGGUUUCCUGAGAUGGAAGCUACUCCCAGUGGACACACUGUGUAGACUGUGGGAAUGACAGGAAGGAUUUAGAACAUUUCAUAAACUGAGUUGAGAAAGCAGUCGGAGGACAGACUCAUUUUGGGAGUCCCAUGGGUAAAAUGCUAUCAGAUAGUAUUGCCCCUAUAGAGAAAUCAUCCAUGAAAGGAAGAAUCAAUCCAAACGUCAGGUUUCACCAUCAUCUUACUUUCAAAAGCUGCCAGGGGUGCCUGGGUGGUGCAGUCGGUUUGGCGGCCAACUCUUGGUUUUGGCUCAGGGGCAUGAGAUUGAACCCCUCGUGGGGCUGUGCACAUUCAGCAGGGUGUCUGCUUGAGCUUUUCUCCCUCUUCCUUGGCCCCUUCCCCUUCAAAAAAAAAAGUUUACAAGGAAAUUGCCACAACACCCACCCUCAGCAGCCCUCAACAUGACACAAGACCCUCCACCUGCAAGAAUAUUGCCUGAAAGCUCAGAAGAUGGUUAGCUCUCCUCUGCCACAGAGCGUCUUUAAAUCAAGUGGAAUGGAGCCAAGACACUCGCCUUGACACAGCUGUGUGUCUGGGUAAUGCUGCACGUAUUGAAUUGUUUCCUCAGAACUUUCUGUGGCCUCAGCUGGUGCCAUCACAGCAGUAAGGCCCAAGGCAAGUAUGGUUCCCAGCAAAUGACAAACUGUUCCAGCCCAGGACAGAGCACUUGGUUUCCCCCUUGGAUGGUGAGACUCAUCCCUUCCUCUGUCGCUCCCUGCAUCACCAACGGCUGUGCGAUGUCACCCAGACCCUCACCACCCUCGUCCAACCCCUGGAACCACUCCAGCUACUCGUGCAGCAGCCCGGCCACAAGAUGCCCAGGAGCCUGGUUCUGGUGGGCCCCUGUAUGGAACAAUCAGUUCCAGUCCCUGGUGUGGCAGCUGCCCCAUGGCCUGAACCCAGCUCACCCUGCUUGGCUCUGGGUCCAGCCAGAAUGCAUCGCUGCACUGUCAGGAUGGCGCAGUGUGCUUGGCCAGCUAGGAGGUCCAAGAACGAGCCUGGAGUCGUCGAUUCAGAAGCAGAGAUAGUGCACUUCAGUUAUGGUGACAGUGAAGGGGGAUUUAAAAUGUGCCCCUGGGGGGGGGGUACCUGGGUGGCUCAGUGGUUGGGCCUCUGCCUUUGGCUCCAGUCAUGAUCCCGGGGUCCUGGGAUUGAGUCCCACAUCAGGCUCCUCACAGGGGGCCUGCUUCUCCCUCUGCCUGCAUCUCUGCCUUUCUCUC